rnacentral:rRNA from 1 species
CUACGGGGGGCUCCAGUGAGGAAUUUUGCGCAAUGGGGGAAACCCUGACGCAGCAACGCCGCGUGAGUGAAGAAGGCUUUCGGGUCGUAAAGCUCUGUCAGAUGGGAAAAAUGUCCAAUAGUAAAUAGCUAUUGGGCUUGAUGGUACCAUCAGAGGAAGCACCGGCUAACUCCGUGCCAGCAGCCGCGGUAAUACGGAGGGUGCGAGCGUUGUUCGGAAUUAUUGGGCGUAAAGAGCGUGUAGGCGGUUUGGCAAGUCAGAUGUGAAAGCCUUCUGCUCAACAGAAGAAGUGCAUUUGAAACUGACUGACUAGAGGAUGGGAGAGGAGAGUGGAAUUCCCAGUGUAGAGGUGAAAUUCGUAGAUAUUGGGAGGAACACCCGUGGCGAAGGCGACUCUCUGGACCAAUACUGACGCUGAGACGCGAAAGCGUGGGGAGCAAACAGGAUUAGAUACCCCCGUAGUC